CCUACGGGAGGCAGCAGUGAGGAAUAUUGGUCAAUGGACGAGAGUCUGAACCAGCCAAGUAGCGUGAAGGAUGACUGCCCUAUGGGUUGUAAACUUCUUUUAUAUGGGAAUAAAAUGUUCCACGUGUGGGAUUUUGUAUGUACCAUAUGAAUAAGGAUCGGCUAACUCCGUGCCAGCAGCCGCGGUAAUACGGAGGAUCCGAGCGUUAUCCGGAUUUAUUGGGUUUAAAGGGAGCGUAGGUGGAUUGUUAAGUCAGUUGUGAAAGGUUGCGGCUCAACCGUAAAAUUGCAGUUGAAACUGGCAGUCUUGAGUACAGUAGAGGUGGGCGGAAUUCGUGGUGUAGCGGUGAAAUGCUUAGAUAUCACGAAGAACUCCGAUUGCGAAGGCAGCUCACUGGACUGCAACUGACACUGAGGCUCGAAAGUGUGGGUAUCAAACAGGAGUAGAGACCCGAGUAGUC
rnacentral:rRNA from 1 species